rnacentral:rRNA from 1 species
AUUGAACGCUGGCGGCAGGCCUAACACAUGCAAGUCGAACGAGUGGCGGACGGGUGAGUAAUGUCUGGGAAACUGCCUGAUGGAGGGGGAUAACUACUGUAAACGGUAGCUAAUACCGCAUACCAUCAGAUUUGCCCAGAUGGGAUUAGCUAGUUGGUGGGGUAACGGCUCACCAAGGCGACGAUCCCUAGCUGGUCUGAGAGGAUGACCGGCCACAAAGGACCAGAGACACGAUACAGACUCCUACGGGAGGCAGGAGUGGGGAAGAUUUGACAAUGGGCGCAAGCCUGAUGCAGCCAGGCAGCGUGUAUGAAGAAGGCCUUCGGGUUGUAAAGUACUUUCAGCGGGGAGGCGUUACCCGCAGAAGAAGCACCGGCUAACUCCGUGCCAGCAGCCGCGGUAAUAC